UAUAUUCAAAUAAAUGAUAUAAAAUUGCAAAUUUUAUGGUGUAUAAUAUUACUAAGGCUU
rnacentral:tRNA from 1 species